rnacentral:rRNA from 1 species
GACGAACACUGGCUACAGGCUUAACACAUGCAAGUCGAGGGGAAACGACGGGGAAGCUUGCUUCCUUGGGCGUCGACCGGCGCACGGGUGAGUAACGCGUAUCCAACCUGCCUCUGACUGAGGGAUAACCCGUCGAAAGUCGGCCUAAUACCUCAUGGCAUCGUCUGCGGGCAUCCAACGACGAUUAAAGAUUUCAUCGGUCAGGGAUGGGGAUGCGUCUGAUUAGCUUGUUGGCGGGGUAACGGCCCACCAAGGCGACGAUCAGUAGGGGUUCUGAGAGGAAGGUCCCCCACAUUGGAACUGAGACACGGUCCAAACUCCUACGGGAGGCAGCAGUGAGGAAUAUUGGUCAAUGGGCGGGAGCCUGAACCAGCCAAGUAGCGUGCAGGAAGACGGCCCUAUGGGUUGUAAACUGCUUUUAUGCGGGGAUAAAGUGAGGGACGUGUCCUUCAUUGCAGGUACCGCAUGAAUAAGGACCGGCUAAUUCCGUGCCAGCAGCCGCGGUAAUACGGAAGGUCCUGGCGUUAUCCGGAUUUAUUGGGUUUAAAGGGAGCGUAGGCUGGAGAUUAAGUGUGUUGUGAAAUGUAGACGCUCAACGUCUGAAUUGCAGCGCAUACUGUUUUCCUUGAGUACGCACAACGUUGGCGGAAUUCGUCGUGUAGCGGUGAAAUACUUAGAUAUGACGAAGAACGCCGAUUGCGAAGGCAGCUGACGGGAGCGCAACUGACGCUUAAGCUCGAAGGUGCGGGUAUCAAACAGG